AAAAAGCUUCUACCAUAUAAGUAGUCCACUGGUUCCUCCCUAUGGCUGCAAUUUUAACCAGAAAUAAAAGUCUCUCUCUUGUUGACAUCUUCCAAUAUAGGAGUCAAUGAAGUUAGAAUGAGAGCCUAUUCAAGAACUUACUAGAAAUUUCUAUAUGGACCUAAUUGUUACUUAUCCAGAUAUUAACUUCAUAUCCUCCUUCUCCUCAAUCAAACCAGAAACCCCAGGGCUCAGUUGCUAUGAUGCCUCUAAGAAACUUCUAACACUUAAGUCUACACAGUGAAAAGUAGCAAUAAAGCCUAAAGAUUUUUCUUUGAAGCCACACUGAGGCUUUGAAGUCAGGGCUUUGAGGUGCAGGGAGAAUCAGUGGAGCCCUCUGGACAUGGCCUGCAGCUUUUACAUGGACCUGCCCAGAUGAGUAUGCAUGCUGAAUUUGGAAUCAGCCUAUAUGAAAACUAAACUGUCCCUUUGGUCUAUUGCCUCACACCAAUAUUUUAGAGAUCUCAUUAGCAGUAGACAUUAAGUACUGGAAGUGCUUUUGAAGUCUGCAAAGUUCAUUGUUGCCCCAGCCUGGUCUCACUGGAAGGUCUGUGUUUAAAUCUAUGACCUCAUCCUCCUUUGGCCUUCUGGCUUCAUGAUAACAUUACAACUCAUUAGCACUUAUGAUGAACAUUACUUUAUCUCCAUGCUUAUGGAUUUUAUUGUUCACACUUCCAGGGAGGGAAAAAUGGCACAAAAUGAUUAAUCUACCCAAACUUCUCAACUAAGAUCUUGGUAGCCACAUUUCUGACUCUGAGUAAAAGGCCCUUUGCUGGUUACUCUAACACAUUUGGCUGGUCCAACAGCACAAGCCAUCUUCUUCUCCCUUCAUCUUUACAUGGUACAUCAGACCUUUUCCAAUCUAAAGUAUCUUAUAAAACGUCAAAGGAAAAUUAGAUUUCAUAGAAAGAUAUAUUUUUAAAUAAAAUUCUGUGUCCUGGCUAAAUCUAGAGAGGUUUCUUUUAUUCCCCUAAAUAUUUGAUUCCCCUGAAACUUCUAAGUCCCGAAGCUACAGCUUUCCCUUAGAUUAUAUGACACUCACAUACUUCUUUAAUAUCACUCUUGCCAUCAUUUUUGAGGUCCAGUCAUAGACAUGUGCAUGUUUAUUUGGAAAGCACUUCCAUCACUCCAAUAUAUGGGUUAGAGGAACAGAGCCCCUCCAUGGAAGUUUGCUUCAUUCUACAACCGAGAAAACUGCAUGUCCAAAAGGUGAAAAAUUUUGCCAUCAUUAAAUGGAAAACAAGUGACAGAGCUGGCCUUGAGUCCUAAGUCCAGUGAUUUUUCAGUUUAAUUCUCCAUAGAAAUCUAUAGG
rnacentral:lncRNA from 1 species